GACGAACGCUGGCGGCGUGCUUAACACAUGCAAGUCGAACGGAAAGGCCCUGCUUUUGUGGGGUGCUCGAGUGGCGAACGGGUGAGUAACACGUGAGUAACCUGCCCUUGACUUUGGGAUAACUUCAGGAAACUGGGGCUAAUACCGGAUAGGAGCUCCUGCUGCAUGGUGGGGGUUGGAAAGUUUCGGCGGUUGGGGAUGGACUCGCGGCUUAUCAGCUUGUUGGUGGGGUAGUGGCUUACCAAGGCUUUGACGGGUAGCCGGCCUGAGAGGGUGACCGGCCACAUUGGGACUGAGAUACGGCCCAGACUCCUAAGGGAGGCAGCAGUGGGGAAUAUUGCACAAUGGGCGGAAGCCUGAUGCAGCAACGCCGAGUGCGGGAUGACGGCCUUCGGGUUGUAAACCGCUUUCGCCUGUGACGAAGCGUGAGUGACGGUAAUGGGUAAAGAAGCACCGGCUAACUACGUG
rnacentral:rRNA from 1 species